AACCUUGCAGUUGUCUCAGGCACAUCUGACUUCAGUCACCCUGGAGCUGCUGUGGGGUCCUCAGCACCACGGCCGGAGCUGAAGGAAGAGGCCAGGCAUCUGGGGCUUCAGGGCCUGACAGAAGCGUGAGGCGUGGUGGCUUGUUUGCCACCACAGACAGUUGUCUGAAGAACUGCCAGAUUCACUUCAGGACCAGCGCCUCCGGAGGGCAGAUGAGUCUUGGGUCUCGACUUGAUCUGAGGAGACGGUUCACUGCAAACAAAAGUUUGACCAGCACUGGCCUUGUUCCAGUGACUCCCGCUCUCCCCGGGCCCUGAGACCCCACCCACCCGCAGCAGAAUUCUGGGCUGGGAGCCCCUCCCCACUUUGCUGAAUUCAACAGGGAAAACCGCUUGCCACCAUUCUUCUGCAAACCUAGUCCACAAAGAUGUUCCGGCACAUCCCUUGUAGGUCUCCAGCUGGUUCGGCAACAAAAGAAUCUUGUAUAAAAAGAACAUGAAGUUUCAAAAAGAGACUUCCAUUUACAUGGCUAAAACGGCAGCAGACACCACCAAAGUCGGGGGUACAAGGAGGCAGGCCAGCUACCCAUCGAUGCCCAGGUCCAGUGAGUGAGGCUGCCCAGCCCAGGGACAGUCACUCAAGUGUGGCCGGGCCCCCUGAGCUGUGACUGGGGAAGGAGCAAGAGGACAGCACGGCCCCUUCCGACUAGUCACCACUUACACCUCUUUAUAUAGAUGUUCCUCUGGUCCGUCCCCACUGACUAGCACGAGGGACGUGCUUAUCACCCUGCAGACAGUGGCCUCUCACUGGCCUGCCCCUGGGGGAGACAGCCUGUGGUCUCAGCCAGAAGAUGGCAGCCGACUCCCUCCCCAUGCCCUCCGUUCCUGUCUUUGGGUCCAGUUGCCCUGCCACAUGGCUCCCUGUGGCCUCAGACUCACCAAUAGAUGAGGGCUCUGCUCUCGUCAAGUUAUGUUCCAGAGAGAAAAGAGAGAAUAAACAUGAGCAGAAGUCUGCAGUGGGUUUGGGGUCAGCCUCCGGGAGAAGGUGGCUUUUUUUCCAUUAAUUGUGAUAAAAGACAUAUAACAUAAAAUUUGCCAUUGUAACCUUUUUUUUUUUUUUUUGAGGAAGAUUAACCCUGAGCUAACAUCUGCCACCAAUCCUCCUCUUUUUGCUGAGGAAGACUGGCCCUGAGCUAACAUCCGUGCCCAUCUUCCUCUACUUUAUAUGUGGGACAUCUACUACAGCAUGGCUUGACAAGCAGUGCCAUGUCCGCACCCGGGAUCCGAACUGGUGAACCCCAGGCCACCAAAGCGGAACAUGCAAACUUAACUGCUGUGCCACCGGGCUGACCGCUCCAUUUUAACCAUUUUUAAGUGAACAGUGCAGUGGCAUUAAUUACAUUCAUGAUGUUGUGAAGUCACCGCUUAUAUCUAAUUCUAGAACAUUUUCAUCUCUCCAAAGGAGACCUCGUCCCUAUGAGCAGUCACUCCCCAUCCCUUAUGCCCCCAGCCCCUGGCAACC
rnacentral:lncRNA from 1 species